rnacentral:rRNA from 1 species
CAGCCGCCGCGGUAAUACCGGCGGCCCGAGUGGCGGUCACUAUUAUUGGGCUUAAAGCGUCCGUAGCCGGGUUGGGAAGUCCUCCGGGAAAUCUGGCCGCUUAACGGUCAGAAUGCCGGAGGAUACUCCCAGCCUAGGGAGCGGGAGAGGCCGAGGGGAUUCCCGGAGGAGGGGGGAAAUCCUAUAAUCCCGGGAGGACCACCUGUGGGGAAGGCGCUCGGCUGGAACGCGUCCGACGGUGAGGGACGAAGGCCAGGGGAGCAAACCGGAUUAGAUACCCGGGUAGUCCUGGCUGUAAACGAUGCGGACUUUGUGUCGGACAAGCUAUGAGCUUGUCCGGUGCCGGAGGGAAACCGUUAAGUCCGCCGCCUGGGGAGUACGGCCGCAAGGCUGAAACUUAAAGGAAUUGGCGGG